rnacentral:lncRNA from 1 species
ACAUGGACAAUUUUAUGAGGUGUUACACCAAAUCCAACUUGUGAUCAUUAAUUUAGGUAUGAGAAAAAGAAUUGCAGAUUGGAAUUAUGUGUUAAUAGUGGUGUUGUAUACUCAAUUUUUAAAGAUCUGAUUAAAUUCUCAAUCACCAGACACUUCAAUGUGGAAGUGUCUCACUUUGUAAGAGAUGAUUACAAGGGACCUGGGUCCUAAAGGAAUUCAUCCUAAAAGAAG